rnacentral:rRNA from 1 species
AUUGAACGCUGGCGGAAUGCUUUACACAUGCAAGUCGAACGGCAGCACGGACUUCGGUCUGGUGGCGAGUGGCGAACGGGUGAGUAAUGUAUCGGAACGUGCCCAGUCGUGGGGGAUAACGUAGUGAAAAUUACGCUAAUACCGCAUGCGAUCUAUGGAUGAAAGCGGGGGAUCGCAAGACCUCGCGCGAUUGGAGCGGCCGAUAUCAGAUUAGGUAGUUGGUGGGGUAAAGGCCCACCAAGCCAACGAUCUGUAGCUGGUCUGAGAGGACGACCAGCCACACUGGAACUGCGACACGGUCCAGACUCCUACGGGAGGCAGCAGUGGGGAAUUUUGGACAAUGGGCGAAAGCCUGAUCCAGCCAUUCCGCGUGCAGGAUGAAGGCCCUCGGGUUGUAAACUGCUUUUGUACAGAACGAAAAGGUUUCUACUAAUACUAGGAGCUCAUGACGGUACUGUAAGAAUAAGCACCGGCUAACUACGUGCCAGCCGCCGCAGUAA